CGAAGGGGGCUAGCGUUGCUCGGAAUUACUGGGCGUAAAGGGAGCGUAGGCGGACAUUUAAGUCAGGGGUGAAAUCCCGGAGCUCAACUCCGGAACUGCCUUUGAUACUGGGUGUCUUGAGUGUGAGAGAGGUAUGUGGAACUCCGAGUGUAGAGGUGAAAUUCGUAGAUAUUCGGAAGAACACCAGUGGCGAAGGCGACAUACUGGCUCAUUACUGACGCUGAGGCUCGAAAGCGUGGGGAGCAAACAGGAUUAGAUACCCUGGUAGUCCACGCCGUAAACGAUGAUUGCUAGUUGUCGGGAAGCUUGCUUCUCGGUGACGCAGCUAACGCAUUAAGCAAUCCGCCUGGGGAGUACGGUCGCAAAGAUUAA
rnacentral:rRNA from 1 species